rnacentral:lncRNA from 1 species
CUUCUCCUUGUGGAGCUGGUCACCACUGACCACUUCACAGGACACUGGGCCUAUUCCUUAUUGACAAAAUGGAAGCUUCCAUAAAAAACCAACUUGGAUACCCACUGCCAUCGUGGUUAUCCCAGGCAACUACAGUCAGCUUCUCUCAACCCAAGGGACUCAAUUCCAAAGAGGGAGCAGGGAGAGGGCAGCUGCCCGCGACCCCAUUAAUUUGGAUGUUUGGCUCCAGAUGUUCAAUCCCAAGGACAUCAAGUCAGCAUUUUUCUCUGAAGACUGUAAAAGAACAGCUGCAUCUUCUAGAAGACCAUCCAAGUCCAUGUCUUGUUAGGAUGAUUACAGUGUUUUACUUGUAGCAUAGUUUCGCUGCUUGGACCCCUUUUUGAGAUCCCAUUCUCAGUCUCAAACACAGGGGGAUGAUAUUUCAAGACACAGAAUGUGAGAGCAGAGUGGGUUUUAGAGAUCAUGUGAUCCAACGCAUUCCUCUUAGAGAAGAUGACAUGGGGUGGGGGGCGGGAGGGAGGCAGGCAGAGAGGGCACUUCUCUGCAGUCAUCUGCAGAGGUAAUGGGAGAGAUGUGACUGGACCUCCUUUUAUAAAUAAUGUGUUUUUAGCCAGGUGCAGUGGCUCAUGCUUGUAAUCCCAGCACUUUGGGAGUUUGAGGCUGGUGGAUCACUUGAGGUCAGGAGUUCGAGACCAGCCUGGCCAGCAUGGCGAAACCCCAUCUCUACUAAAAAUAGAAAAAAAUUAGCCAGAUGUGGUGGCACGUGCCUGUAGUCCCAGCUACUCAUGAGGCUGAGGCAGAAGAAUCACUUGAACCCGGGUGGUAGAGUUUGCAGUGAGCCAAGAUUGCACCACUGCACUCCAGCCUGGGUGACAGAGUGAGACUCUCUCUCAAAAAUAAAUAAAUAAAUAAAUAAAUAAAUAAAGUGUUUUUGUGUUCAAAGCUAAAAAAGAAUUGAAAAAUACUUGUUUAUUUAAAACAUUUAGAAAUCUAUAAGAAAUGUAAAAACUGCACCCCCAGAAUGCCACCGCCUGCAGCUAUCAUUAAUAUUUCCUUUCGAUGUUUUAUGUUAAUCAUUUUCCAUAGAUAAGAUUAUACUCUAUGUCUCAUUUUUUCCUGCCUAUUCAGUGAACCUUGUAACUCAACUAACUUCCCCACUU